GUAUUUGUAGCUUCGCUAAGCCUGGAGCUGAGAGAGCUAAUGAUUGCCUCAACUUCUGGUAAAGUGCAGUUCUAAGGGCAUUUUCAGCCUUCACUUCUUCCUACCCUCCCUUUUAAAAGAUUUCAAAACCAAGCCUUUAAUUUUCAGCAAGACCUUUUCAUGUGACCUUUAGAACAUAGCAAGGGUUAUUUUAACAGUAAAUCAACACAAGGUAGCGGGGUCCUUGGGCUGAAUUCUGGGGAUGUGUUCUCACAGUGAGAGCUGAGGUAUCCAUCACAGCGAGGAUGUCACCACUGUCCCACACAUCUACCCGUAAGACUUCCCAGUGUUCUGGGGGGGUUGUAGCAGCUCGUGACAAAUGGGAAUGGGAAGCCCUCUUCACUUCUACAGUUGUGGCAUGGAGUACUUUUAUGACAAAGAUCAGGCUCAGAUGUCAGGAGAGAAUGCUUCUAGAAAAAUGAUCUGCCAGUGUGGUGCUUCUGCAGGAGAUCUGAAAUGGACUCUGUGGAGGUACAGAAAGGCUGCACUGCAGCGUAUCUCCUUCAUCGCAAAGAGUAUUCAGCCAGAACCUGAAGUCCAAAUUUUUU
rnacentral:lncRNA from 1 species